GGUGGGAGGGGAAGAGGAGAUUUUUAAAAAUUUAUUCCGACCUGCAGAAGUUUGAAAGUGAAAGAAAAUGUGUCAGGUCAUGUUGGUGUUCAGUGCGCGCCUCGUAAAUGCUUGGCUGAUUUAAAAAGAGAGAGAGAGAGAGAGAAAAAAAGAAAAAGAAAAAAAAGAGCAAAGACAUGCAAAAGUUGCGCCUGGCCGCCAGUGACUCGGGUAAAUGAUCUCAUACGUUUCGCCGUGCAUCAUAGCAGCAAGAACUGGAAGGAGGACAAUGAAACGAGGAACUGCUGACUUGCGUUUCCAGUGUUCACUGGCGACUUUCUGAUGAAGAGGAGGAUGAAGGGAGACAAACUGGGCAGAGAGACGAUGAGGAGGCAGAUUCACCUCAGCUCUGGAAGGCAUGUUUCCACUGCCUUCGCCCAUCAUGACGAGCGCCGGGGAAACCACCUGGUCUGAGCUUUUCUGGUAACAUCAGCUCACUCAGCUGUACAAAGCAGCACUGGACCAGUUACGGCACGCAAAAAAAUGGUGAGGUCCUUUCCCCUCCAGUCGCUGCAGAUUCCACCUCCGGCAGUGAAGAGGAAGGUGGGAAAAGGAGCGCUGGUGUACUUGCAGACGUCACUGAGCAACACUCACAGCUGCUCUAAAACAGCGCCUGGUAGGAAAAAAGGAAGGACAGGGAGAGAGGACAAACGAUGGCAAGAAUCAUCCGUCUGUCUCUGGAGACUGAGGCAUAAUCAGCGCACAGGAGAUUCAUCUUUUUCUCCAGCGAAACAUGUUACUUUUGGAUUUUCUGUGUCUUUUAAUAGGCUAGGAAUGUCAAUUUUGUGAUUACUGUAAUUUUGUACUUGUUUGUUUGUUACUGAAGGAGUAAAAACAGAGACCGCCAGCUCCGGCUUACCUCAACUUGUCGUCUACGACACUUCAUUGUAGUCAGUAAAGACAAUACCUACUUAAAGUGUAAUAAUAAUUAAAAAAAAAAAAAAACAUACUACAUUUUAUGAGAUCACAAUCUAGGGAAAUGUAAACCCAAAGUUCAGAGGAGGUCACAUUUUGAUGUGGUUUUAUUUUUGUCGCAUUUCCACUUUCAUUUCACAAUUAUGUGUAGUGACCAUAUUGUGAUGUCCAACACAGUCCUAAAACGCUUCAAUCAAACACUUUUGAUCCUUUGAAUGCAUCAUCAUGGUCUGUCCACAUUUAACCAUCUACUCCACGUCACACUCCUCCCUGGACCUAAACCUCUGCAAACCAGUGAUCGGUUUCCGAUUCACACCUCAACAUAUCCUUUCAUUUGUUCAGUUUUCCUCACAGUGCUAAGGGAAAUCCCAGGAACAGACAGUCACACCACUUCCUGUGUCAUAAUAAACCCGUUAGCUUCGACCACUGUCUGCUGAGAGUUUACUCAAAUGCGGGUCAGAAGUUUGCCUCAAGAUUUGACGCUCGGAGUAAAUGCGGCCCAAAACCUUGCAGCAGAAGUGACACGUUCGACAUCUUGAAAAAUACAGUACACGUUAUAUAAGUGAUUCAUUUGGGUGGUGUUGCAUUUAUGGGGAGAAUGGGUUUGAGUCAGAGUUCUUUUGGUGUUGUCACUGAACUAUCGGACAGUUUAGUCAACCACUUCUUUAGACCCGCAGAGGGCACUUAGUGAUGAAAAUUGAUGAGUCACUAAAACACUUGAUGAAUCACUAAAUCGCAGCGAACCUUUUUUUGCUAAUAGCGUAAGUUGAGUUGUUUGACUCGUAACCCAGACAACAGAAGCUCUAGCUUUUCCAGAGAACUGUUAAGUUCCCUCAUUUGAAACUCAUUAUGUAGCCAAAUGUAUUGGGUCAUCAUCACACUGAGCCAUUGAAUUCAGGUCUUCCAGUCACUUCUACUUCACUUCCAUGGACACAGGUGUUUGAUAUGGCGCAGCUCAGCGUGAAGCUCCUGCAAACAUUUACGAUGAAAUGGUUUGAAUUCCAGUGUGGUGCUUUCUGGGAAGCCACCUGUGCAAAAACAAGUGAGAUCGUAAAAUUUCCUCACUGCUAAACUCCAAAGUCUGCUGCUCGUGGUAUUGUGACAAAGUGGAAUGGAGUUCUGCAAAGUCAAUAGCUGCAGACCUCCAGGCUUUAUGUGGCGAUGUCAUUAUAUAAAUCGCCAGAUGCUGUGGUGUGAAGCAUCCUGCCACCGGACUCUAGAGCAGCGGAGUCAUGUUUCCUGCAGUGGUGAAUCAUGUUCCUCUGUCUAAGGAAGAACAGACUUACUUGACUGAACUGUGUCGCGCUUAAAGUUUGGCUCAGGGGUAAUGACGGUUUGAUAAUUUGGUGCUUGUAACUUUGUGGGAACAGUCUAGAGAUGACCCGCUCUUCAACAGGACGGCUGAAGUGCACAAAGCAACGUCAAAGACUUGCACUAGCAAGAUCAGUGCGGAGAAACUUGACUCCGCACUGAGUCAAGUUCCGAGAUCUCAACUCUUUGAACAUUUUUGAUGUGAAUUUGAAUGGAGACUGUAAAUUAGGACGCCUUGUCACACUCCUAAGCCUCAGAGAGUUGGCGCUGUGACACAAGUAUGCCUCCAUUUGACCCAUCGCCUAGUGGAGAAGUGGUGCAAGUUGCUAGCGCAAAGUGUCUGUCUUUAGUAAAUACUUGUUUAAAUGGCAAACAACAGAAAUUGUGAGAGUGAAGGCCAGAAAACGGGAGCGGGGAAAAAAACACAACAAAACAAAAAGGAACAAGACAGUAAACUGGAAGGUUGCGUUUAAAAUGAUUUAGGAGAGAUGCAGAGGAGCCAUUUUGCUUCUCUUCCACUCAAUGUCAUGGAGGGACUGAGACCAAAAUCAUUAACCCUGCUAACCAGAGCAUAUCGACCUUACCAGAACAUGAGCCUGUGCCCAAAUGCUGGUCCAUGAGGUAAAAGUGGUCAUGGAGCCAUAAACAAUUUUGACUGCCUCAACCGUGUCUGUCAAAGGAGUCAUGGAGUACAGACUCUGCAUGAUUGGUGGGCUGAGAGAAAAAUGAAGUGCUGCCAAAACAAGGAUGCUAAUUUUAAAGCCUCUGAACCAGCACACAAACAACAGAAACAGAUCUUCUCUAGAUUUCCCCUCAGUUGCAUCCUGGUAAACAUUGGGUACAUCCCAAGAUAGUGUCUGCUUACUCUGCGUCUUUUGGAGCAGAGUUUUCCAUUCCAUGUUGCAUUUUCAGUGAUGUUAAAAGCUUGUGAUGUGGCGAAACAGGCUUCAGUACAAAGGCUUCAUGGCCCAGCAGUAUUAACCUAUUUUGCACAGGGAAUAGAGGGAUGAAUACACAGAUACAGUUUGAAUCAGAGUGUGUAUUGUGGGCUAACACUUUGAGAAGAAUUGUUGCUGUUUGUCAGGACAUUUUGUAGGCUGACAAUUUCCUUCCUACGCAACUCUGCUCGAUUCCAAUCUCCCUUCACUGCUCCGCCUGGACUUUCUUCCAUUCAAAUGGAUUUCUCCUGUAGAAUCUCACCUGGCCAAUCAGCGAAAAGAAGAAGUUGUGAACAAAGAUGUAGAUUUUUUUUUUUUUUUUGCAUUGUUUUAGACUGUCUGUAGUUUUAGCAAUGGCAGCAGAGAAAGGGAACGAAACCAGUAAGUCCAUGUUGGCCAAGCUUCCAGAUAUUAAAUCAAUAUUAACAGCCAUCUUGAUUGACUCGUAAAAACACUUUGCUCCACACUUCAUACAGAGGGUUUGGACCCUCAGUUGUUAGGAAAUGAUUGCUUCCUGGAGACAUGGUCUCUGUUGUUGAUUUGAAUAUGACCCAAUCGCUAACGUUUGACCGUGACAUAUGUAAUAUGCCGGUUUGAUGCUACAAAGCUAACUGGAAAUUGUGUGCGCUGUAACCUUUCUACACUAAUGGCAAUACAAAGUAAAAAAAGAAAAAAGUAUCGACUUAAUUAUAAAACUAAUCAAUUAAAUGGAUAAAAUGAUGCAACAGAUUCAACUUAAAUACAAUAAUUGUGACUCAGCAUGUUCGUCUUGGAGUAGCUUUACAAAUGCUGCUGCUGGAACAAAACGCAGCGUUUAAAAACAGGGUUUCUUAAUGGGGAAGAGAGAAUUGCCAAGCAGAACAAGAUGGCUGUUAAUGGCUGUCAUUGUUCAUAACUCCCCUUUCUGUUCGCUGAAAUUUUACCGGAGAAAUCCACUUCAAUGGGAGAAAACCCAGACAGAGUACUGAAGAGGGAUUAAAAUAGAGCAAAAUUGCAUAGGAAGGAAAUGGCACUACAUAACUAUCAUUAUUCAUAUUCAUAUUAUUAUGGAUAGAGCUCCUAAAAUGGCUCUAGCCAUGCGCUCCUCCACGUUCUUCUGCUGCCUGCUAGCCUUCAGGUCAGAUCCAAUAACAUCUCAGUUGCAUUGAACUGAGAUUGUAGGCAGUAAUCAGCGCCGUGGGGAUUACCGAAUUUCUUUUAAGGACUCUAUUAAAAUAUUUCCUUGAGCCCUUCUCUGAAAGUUUUAAUCUAAUCCAUUUGUCUUUUCAGCUAUCUAAGCAUUAUCUAAGCAUUUAUGAUAAAGAGACUGUUUCUUGGGCAGUCGCAGAUACAAAUCAGAAGGAUGAAGCAUGUUUACUUUAAUGUGUGUGAUAUAGAUUCCACUUUCAAGCAGAACGUGAGCCACACACCCCACUACCAGCUUCUGUGUAUCUGCAUGUAUGCACAAUGGCUGAUAGUAGGUGUGUGUGUGUGUGUGUGUGGACAUUAACUUCCAAAAAUGGUUGAAGCUGCCAAGAACCGAGUUGUUUUCACAGUCAUGUUACUGCUUUUACUGUUUUCUCAGAAAUAUUUACACAAGCAGCAACGUUGCCUCAGUUUGUGGCAUACCAUACCAAAGUCAUAUCAUAAGUCAUGAAUUGAAUUUGUUGUGAAAUUAGAACAAUUCACAGCGGUAAAAAAAAAAAAAAA